GUGCUCACUUCGGCAGCACAUAUACUAAAAUUGGAACGAUACAGAGAAGAUUAGCACAACUCCUGCGCAAGGAUGACACGCAGAUUUGUGAAGCGUUCCAUAGUUUU
rnacentral:snRNA from 1 species